rnacentral:rRNA from 1 species
CUUGAGAAACCCAAAAGAUCGAAUGGGGAGAUUCAUCGUCAGCGAUCUUGGCGCGUGUGCGGUCUCGCGAUGCCGGAGACUUCGGUCUCCAGGCACGCGUCCGCAUGUUUUUAUUGCCUCGAUCGUCGGCGUGCACUUCUCCCCUAGUAGRACGUCGCGACCCGUUGGGUGUCGGUCUACGGCCCGGGUGGUAGCCUGUCUCGUGUGCGCUUCGCGGCGUACGCGGUUCAGACCCUCGGUUGCCCGACCGGCUGCUCGGCGGUACUCGCACGGUAUCUGGCCGCAAAUAUUCGAACUGCGUCCGGCCCGUCGCAAGCGCGACAAGUGCUCCCGGUUGUACGGAUCUGAUGCCGUCACCGGGCCUUGUCAGCUGUUGGUUGACGGUGUCCUAGGACUGGCUAAUACAAUUAUGAUACCGGUCGGCGACGCUACUGCUUUGGGUACUUUCAGGACCCGUCUUGAAACACGGACCAAGGAGUCUAACAUGUGCGCGAGUCAUUGGGAACUAUUAAGCCUAAAGGCGCAAUGAAAGUGAAGGUCGGCCUUGCGCCGACCGAGGGAGGAUGGGCCGCGUCACGAUGCGGUCCCGCACUCCCGGGGCGUCUCGUUCUCAUUGCGAAAAGAGGCGCGSCCAGAGCG